rnacentral:rRNA from 1 species
UACGUAGGUGGCAAGCGUUAUCCGGAUUUACUGGGUGUAAAGGGAGCGUAGACGGUAUGGCAAGUCUGAUGUGAAAACCCGGGGCUCAACCCCGGGACUGCAUUGGAAACUGUCGGACUAGAGUGUCGGAGAGGCAAGUGGAAUUCCUAGUGUAGCGGUGAAAUGCGUAGAUAUUAGGAGGAACACCAGUGGCGAAGGCGGCUUGCUGGACGAUGACUGACGUUGAGGCUCGAAAGCGUGGGGAGCAAACAGG